GAUGAACGCUGGCGGCGUGCUUAACACAUGCAAGUCGAACGGUGAAGCAGAGCUUGCUCUGUGGAUCAGUGGCGAACGGGUGAGUAACACGUGAGCAACCUGCCCUGGACUCUGGGAUAAGCGCUGGAAACGGCGUCUAAUACUGGAUACGAGACGUGGCCGCAUGGUCAACGUUUGGAAAGAUUUUUUGGUUCAGGAUGGGCUCGCGGCCUAUCAGCUUGUUGGUGAGGUAAUGGCUCACCAAGGCGUCGACGGGUAGCCGGCCUGAGAGGGUGACCGGCCACACUGGGACUGAGACACGGCCCAGACUCCUACGGGAGGCAGCAGUGGGGAAUAUUGCACAAUGGGCGAAAGCCUGAUGCAGCAACGCCGCGUGAGGGAUGACGGCCUUCGGGUUGUAAACCUCUUUUAGCAAGGAAGAAGCGAAAGUGACGGUACUUGCAGAAAAAGCGCCGGCUAACUACGUGCCAGCCGCCGCCGUAAGAC
rnacentral:rRNA from 1 species